AUUGAACGCUGGCGGCAGGCAUAACACAUGCAAGUCGAGCGAGCGGCGGACGGGUGAGUAAUGUAUGGGGACUGCCCGAUAGAGGGGGAUACCUACUGGAAACGGUGGCUAAUACCGCAUAUUGUCGGAUAACCCAUAUGGGAUUAGCUAGUAGGUAAGGUAUUGGCGUACCUAGGCGACGAUCCCUAGCUGGUCUGAGCGGAUGAUCAGCCACACUGGGACUGAGACACGGCCCAGACUCGUACGGAGGCAGCAGUGGGGAAUAUUGCACAAUGGGCGCAAGCCUGAUGCAGCCAUGCCGCGUGUAUGAAGAAGGCCCUAGGGUUGUAAAGUACUUUCAGUCGGGAGGCGUUACCGACAGAAGAAGCACCGGCUAACUCCGUGCCAGCAGCCGCGGUAAUAC
rnacentral:rRNA from 1 species